rnacentral:piRNA from 1 species
UUGAUCGAUAAACUGAUGCGUGGUCAC